AGCAAAGCCAGGUGGCGGCUGGAUCAGGCAUGAUUGGUUGAAUCAUUGGCAGUGUGAUCGAAUUCAGUCUCCAGCCCCCUGCUCCUUCCUGGGGGUCAGAGGUCAGAAGUCAGGCUGAUAUCCACAUUGCUCAAAGCCCCAACCCUCCAGUCACAUGGAUGGCUUUUGUGGCAUGUCCAGCCCCUAUCCUGAGUGAUAUCAUUAACAUAAAGUCAGGCAUGAUCUGAGGAUAUUAUUUCAUAGAAAUACAGCCUUCCACAAACGUUGGAACUGGUUAAAGAGUCUCUGUAAGACUGUAGUCCUUUCAUCUGGUACUGGAGCUUGAAGUCCAGAGGGCAGAGAGUUGGAAAGCGACAAUGGAUAUAAAGUGAGGAAGAUCAAGAAAAGACUGGAACCCACAGCAUGAACUAGAACCCAGCAGGACAAAUUGAAACUCAUGUCAGUUCAUAUUCCUUCUGGUGUUGAUAGUGGGGACCCAACCUCAUGGAACUAAACACACACACACCAGGCCCAGGAGUCAGGGAAGCUGAGGGAAAACCCAGUGGAAGGUAGAGCAGGCCCAGCUGCCGCUUCAUGCUGAUGAGGUGAGUCAGCAGAUCAGCAACAAUGUGUGUGAGCUACAAAAUGACUGCAGCUUCCCAUCUGCUUUCUGAAUCUCACAAGAAUCUCCCUCAUGGCCCACCAUAACCAGAAACAUACAAGAAACAAAAUUGUGGAAAACGUAGUUCAGCUUAGCCAAGUCAAUACAUUACAAGGCCACCACACCACACUUAAUAAAAAGUAAACAUUUGUAAAUCAAUCAACCAGUGCCUGGAAGUACUUAUUUAAGAGCCAAAUUAUUUCACAAAGUAAACUGAAACACACCUGGUGAAUCCCACCCACCACUGGAUACAUAUUUGCAUUGCCACCCAUUAUUCCUUCCCUCUUCUCCUGUAAGAGAAUACGAUCUCCUACCAAUUCUCCCUCCACCUUUUAUUCUCUCUCAGUAAUCAUGCUUCAUCAAUUAACUUCUGUCUCUGGCUGUUCUUUAUCUUCAGCUUCUUUUUUUUUAAGCUUCCCAUGAUUCUGUAAAUCCCUAUAGCAAAUAACUUUUUUUUCUCUUUUCCAUUACAGCCAAGUGUUGAGUACAAAAAGUCUAUUUAUGCUAUCGUUACUUCUAUAAUGUGAUUUUUCUGUAGUAUUUGAGAAUAUUCAAUUCUUCUGAAAUUAACAAGAGAAACAAACAAGUAGAACAAUAGGUGACACUCAUAAAACAUGUUGAGGAAUGAUAGCAAAUGUACUAAGUUAGAAAUCUUUUAGGUUAAACAUAAAUAGCAUAUACAGAACAUAUGUUUGGUAAGCAUAGAUUAAAAGAAUGGAAAUACCAAGUGUGCUACUUGUAGAUAGGAAAGGAUAGAAGGACCAAGUAAACCUAAAAUAUUAGUAAAAUCACAGA
rnacentral:lncRNA from 10 species